ACUAGCGUGUGCCGAGUGGUUUUAGGGCGCUGGACUUGUAAUCCGGAGGUCCCAGGUUCAAGUCCUCCGCCCUGCCACUAGCU